GAGGGGUGCGCGUCUCUGGUUCUUACCUUGGUAUAAAAACCCUGGGACGGUGGGGGUUUCCUCUGAUCACGCUGAACCUCUCGCUUGCUCCCCCCCUCACAGUGUUCUCAUUCUAACUUGCUUUCGUCAGUUUUUGACACUCCGCUGAAAAAAUUUGACAAAACAAAAACCAAUGCACAAACACUGCCUGUGUUGACCUUUUAUACCAAAACCUUUUUUUACACGCUAACAACUUCCUAAGUUUUUUGUAGUCUUUCUUUCAUUUCUUUGUUUUGGAGGAAAUGUUUUCACCGACUGCUGGACGACAUAUCGAGAAACUGACUGAGUGGAAUAUGGGGGCAAAAGGACAAGAAAGACAGGAAAGAGUAAGAGAUAAUUGAUUUUACUCUUAAAAGCUUCCCAUUCUACUGCUCCUUUUUACCUACCUCUCUUUCUGUUUUCUUUUUUCUUUUUCUUUUUUCCCCUCCUUUUAUCCAUCCAAACUUUGCACCUCCCUUCUUUACCUCCCACUAUGCUUUUUCCUUUCCGGCGCUGUUUCCUUCCUCUUUCCAUCACCCGUCCCUUCCUUCUAUUUGUUCUUUUACUUCCUUUCAUUAUUCCAUACAUCUCAUCUUCUUCCCCAACCUCCUUUUUUUAUGUCUGUCUUUAAUUUACUUGCCUUUUCUUCGCUUCCUUCCCACUCCUCCUUCAUUCCCUCUAUUUAAUUUUAUUAUUUAAUCUGCAUUAUUUUUCCUGUUCUCCUCACCCACUGUCUCUCUUUCCUCACUCUUUCAUUCUCUCAACCCCUCCCUCCCUCCGUCCCUCUUCCCGAUUUGUCCUUCAGCUCUGUCAGCACUCACUAUCUCGCUCCAUCUCCUUCUCUGGCAGUCUGAUCAGCUGUCUUCCUUCUAACUUUACAUGGCCUGGUGUGGUGCGGAGGGACGGGCAGCUGCCGGCUGACGCAUUUCACUGCCCAGUCAUCACUUCAAAUCGAAUCCUCUUACACAAACCUCUGUGCUUUUUUUAUUGGGCACUAUUUUUGCUCUCUUUUCUACCUGCACGGGGUCCUAUGGUUUUUUUUUUUUUUCUUUCUUGGUCUGCCUGUUUUUUUCCCCCUCCUCCUUUUUCACCCCAUCCAGCAAGAGAGAGAGAGGCAAGGCAAGUCCCGUGACCCUCUUCUUUUCUCUCCUCUCCUCUCUUUUCACUCCUCCUCCUCCUCUUCUCCUCUGCUCCUCUCCGCAACCUUAAACUCUCCAUCGCUGAUUCAGCUCCCAGGGAGGAGAGACUCCGCCUGCAGCGACCGCUUCACUCCGCAUGGGCCACCAUCCCUAUCUGGAUCACCUUUACUACGGUCCCAGAUUUGUCUGUUCACUUCUUCCUCCUCCUUCUCCACUCUGUCAUCUUUCAGACCAGACUCGCCCCUAAAAUGCUUUGCUAAAGCUGGUAAAAUGGAACCAAAUCAACUGUUCAAUGGAUUUGGUCCCCUUCAACCAGCUGUAGCUGUGCAUUGAUCACUCCGAACACGCACAUGCAGAUGGACAAACAAAUGGACAGGAAAGCGGUGGAAAGACUCAAGCUAAUUCUGUGGAAAACAACUUUAAAAUCUAAAAUUGAAGCUACAUUAGCUUCUUCACAGAAAAAUUGGACUGAGACAUGCACCAGUUACUGUGUGGAUUUAUCUCUAUCACACAGAUUACCCAAAAGACAUUGAAGUCAUUUGCUAAAUCUGAAUAAAACAAGCCAGGUAAGUAAUUAUAGAUACUGUAUCUUGGUGAAUUUGUAUUUUUGUCUGGUACCGCCAUAAUUGCAUUGUUCUUUGGAGACUUUUUAAUUCUUGCUUGAUUUUUCGAAGUGUGUGUUUGGUAUACGAAUUGCUCUGGUGUGUGUGUGUGUGCAAAAGUGUGGUAUGGUUGAAGAGCUAUCAAGUGUAAGAACAGGUGCUGUGUAAGAAAAGCACUAGUGCGUAUCUGUGUGCGCAUGUAUGUAUGUGAGUGUCUUUGACUCCUAAUGCACAUGUCUGAUCAAUAAAGCCUCAUCCUGAAGUUCAUAUAAACUGC